UACGGAAGGCAGCAGGGGGAAUAUUGCACAAUGGGCGCAAGCCUGAUGCAGCCAUGCCGCGUGUAUGAAGAAGGCCUUCGGGUUGUAAAGUACUUUCAGUCGUGAGGAAGGUGUUAAGGUUAAUAACCUUAGCAAUUGACGUUAGCGACAGAAGAAGCACCGGCUAACUCCGUGCCAGCAGCCGCGGUAAUACGGAGGGUGCGAGCGUUAAUCGGAAUUACUGGGCGUAAAGGGCACGCAGGCGGUUAAUUAAGUUGGAUGUGAAAUCCCCGGGCUUAACCUGGGAAUGGCAUUCAAGACUGGUUAGCUAGAGUCUUGUAGAGGGGGUAGAAUUCCAUGUGUAGCGGUGAAAUGCGUAGAGAUGUGGAGGAAUACCGGUGGCGAAGGCGGCCCCUGGACAAAAGACUGACGCUCAUGUGCGAAAAGCGUGGGGAGCAAAACAGGGAUUAGAUACC
rnacentral:rRNA from 1 species